rnacentral:sRNA from 1 species
UACUGUUAUCCAUAGUAGCGUCCUCAAUUACUG